rnacentral:rRNA from 1 species
AUUGAACGCUGGCGGAAUGCUUUACACAUGCAAGUCGAGCGGCAGCGCGGGGGCAACCCUGGCGGCGAGCGGCGAACGGGUGAGUAACAUAUCGGAACGUACCCAGUCGUGGGGGAUAACUAUCCGAAAGGAUAGCUAAUACCGCAUACGUCCUGAGGGAGAAAGCGGGGGAUCGCAAGACCUCGCGCGAUUGGAGCGGCCGAUAUCGGAUUAGCUAGUUGGUGGGGUAAAGGCUCACCAAGGCGACGAUCCGUAGCGGGUCUGAGAGGACGACCCGCCACACUGGAACUGAGACACGGUCCAGACUCCUACGGGAGGCAGCAGUGGGGAAUUUUGGACAAUGGGGGCAACCCUGAUCCAGCCAUUCCGCGUGAGUGAAGAAGGCCUCGGUUGUAAGUAC